AGUCGACGAACUUCUUUAUCACCGAGUGCUUGCACUCACCGGUAAAUUGUUGAGUGGCGAACGGGUGAGUAACACGUGGGCAACCUGCCCAAAAGAGGGGGAUAACACUUGGAAACAGGUGCUAAUACCGCAUAACCAUAGUUACCGCAUGGUAGCUAUGUAAAAGGUGGCUAUGCUACCGCUUUUGGAUGGGCCCGCGGCGCAUUAGCUAGUUGGUGGGGUAAAGGCUUACCAAGGCAAUGAUGCGUAGCCGAACUGAGAGGUUGAUCGGCCACAUUGGGACUGAGACACGGCCCAAACUCCUACGGGAGGCAGCAGUAGGGAAUCUUCCACAAUGGGCGAAAGCCUGAUGGAGCAACGCCGCGUGGGUGAAGAAGGUCUUCGGAUCGUAAAACCCUGUUGUUAGAGAAGAAAGUGCGUGAGAGUAACUGUUCACGUUUCGACGGUAUCUAACCAGAAAGCCACGGCUAACUACGUGCCAGCAGCCGCGGUAAUACGUAGGUGGCAAACGUUAUCCGGAUUUAUUGGGCGUAAAGGGAACGCAGGCGGUCUUUUAAGUCUGAUGUGAAAGCCUUCGGCUUAACCGGAGUAGUGCAUUGGAAACUGGGAGACUUGAGUGCAGAAGAGGAGAGUGGAACUCCAUGUGUAGCGGUGAAAUGCGUAGAUAUAUGGAAGAACACCAGUGGCGAAAGCGGCUCUCUGGUCUGUAACUGACGCUGAGGUUCGAAAGCGUGGGUAGCAAACAG
rnacentral:rRNA from 1 species